rnacentral:rRNA from 1 species
CCUACGGGGGGCUGCAGUGGGGAAUAUUGCACAAUGGGCGCAAGCCUGAUGCAGCCAUGUCGCGUGUGUGAAGAAGGCCUUCGGGUUGUAAAGCACUUUCAGCGGGGAGGAAGGCGGUGAGGUUAAUAACCUCAUCGAUUGACGUUACCCGCAGAAGAAGCACCGGCUAACUCCGUGCCAGCAGCCGCGGUAAUACGGAGGGUGCAAGCGUUAAUCGGAAUUACUGGGCGUAAAGCGCACGCAGGCGGUCUGUCAAGUCGGAUGUGAAAUCCCCGGGCUCAACCUGGGAACUGCACUCGAAACUGGCAGGCUAGAGUCUUGUAGAGGGGGGUAGAAUUCCAGGUGUAGCGGUGAAAUGCGUAGAGAUCUGGAGGAAUACCGGUGGCGAAGGCGGCCCCCUGGACAAAGACUGGCGCUCAGGUGCGAAAGCGUGGGGAGCAAACAGGAUUAGAUACCCUUGUAGUC